rnacentral:tRNA from 1 species
UGGAUCACCUCCUAACAGGGAGACAACAAAAUGUUUAAUAUUAUUUUGUCACCUUAGGUCGAUCGGUAUCUCACGUUCUUAAUUUAUUAAGAAUUUCAUUUCCUAAGUUUUUCUAGGUCACACCCAUUAUUUUUCCUGGGCCAUUAGCUCAGGUGGUUAGAGCGCACCCCUGAUAAGGGUGAGGUCCCUGGUUCAAGUCCAGGAUGGCCCAUAUCUCUAUGUUGGGGGUAUAGCUCAGUUGGUAGAGCGCCUGCUUUGCAAGCAGGAUGUCAGCGGUUCGAGUCCGCUUACCUCCACUGAUUACCACCUCUUCCAUAUCUAAAGAAAGGAAAUGUUUUGAGUUGUGAUCAAAUUCUGAACGAAUCUAGCUUCCUAAUGAAAUCAUUAAGAUGCUGGACUCAUUGAAUUAUUUUCAUUGUUUUCAGAGAACCUUGACAACUGCAUAGAUUAUUUUUAAAGACAAUAAGCAUCUUUAAUGAUGCAGAUUUAUUAUUUGUGCGAACGCACUAAUAACAAUUCUAUUAAGCUGAUGCUUCAAUUUUGAAGUUAUUGGUCAAGCUACAAAGGGCUCACGGAGGAUACCUAGGCACACAGAGGCGAUGAAGG